GCAGGUUAUUGGAUUCCCUCGGGGAUUUGCAGGCUGCAAGUGGAUUAAAGAAAUUGAACGAACACCUGGCGACACGAAGCUACAUCAGGGGCUACAUGCCUACGGAUGGAGAUGCAGAAGUUUACAAACGUCUCUCGGGAUCACCAUCAGGUUGCCACCCGCACGUUCUCAGAUGGUACCGGCACAUCACAGCUAUCGGCAGGGAACUUGGUCUUGACAUUUUGUGAACGGGAAACUACCUAUGUUGCAGUCACGUGGACUACUUCGAGAACUUAGUUAGAGACCCACACUUAAAAAUCCACCACGUUUAAUAUAACGCAUUAAACAAAUCUAAAUAGAAUUCCACAUAAACAAAGAAACUUCGCCAUACAAGGGUGCUUCAAAAAGUUCGUGUAGAAACGAAAGUUUGAAAAACGAUUGUUGAAAAAAAACCUGGCCUCGAUUUCGGCAGAUGACAUGUUGCAAGAACGGUUGUUGCUUUUAAAGCAGCACCCCACGUUUGUAACAUUAAUUUAAGGGUUCAUGUGAAAACACGUUAUAAAACUUUGAUGCAGCAGCGUUCUUGUGCAUUGACGUCACACUCUUUUUUUAUAAUAUUCUGUUUUGUCCACUUUCCAUGAACUUUUCGAAGCCCCCUCGCAUUGCCUGAAUAAAAUAAAAAAAAACAUACCAAUGUCCCAUUGGUUAACAUAUAAUCUAGUCGAUCAUAUCGUGAAUGAUUGCAAAUCCCGAACUUGAUUCUGAUGACUUGACAGUGCAUGAGAGCACGCCACACAAGAAGGUUGCGUCAUUAAAUUACAUAUCAACACCUAGUGAUUGCAUGUAAAUAAACUCUAGAUGGAUGAACAUAUGGACAAAAAUGGGCACAAGAUCGAAUUAAAACUAGAGUACUAUUUUUUGGGGGGGAGUCAAGGCACAGUCAUUGGUUAGUGCAUAUGACGAUCAAAAGUUGGCACAAACUACAUGAACAAUAAGAAAUUAAGAGGUUAAAGCAACAAUGUGGUGAGUCAAAUAUACCUCCUGAAGUCCUGACACCUAAAACUUUAUUUCAAAGAUUCUGUAUUAUUGUGGUGUUAAGCUGUUCUAUCAGUCAUAGACAGGACAGUUAGAGGAUUAACAAGUUUGUUAGAAGAUUAUAGAAUUGUGAGUGACUUGUUCACCAGUAGCUCAAGAUUGGCCAUCGUUUGGAUCAUAGUUCCAGUCGUGAGCAGCCGGCCAUUUGUCGUGUUCUGCAUUGCAAAAAUAAAUCCUGAUCAAUACUCAGUAAUAUGGCAUAUUUGUAGAUCCUGAUAUUUGAUAUAAUAUCACGCAAUGCAAGAAAAAGCACCUCAAAUAAUAACAAGGCUCAAGACUAAACGUCAGGCCAAGAUGGCACACAAUGAAAUGAAAUAUUACGUUCACCAGCCAUUGCAGUAAAGGGGAUGUGCUAUUUAUCUCGACAAUCACCAAAAAAUAAUCACGAACAAAUAAGGUUACAAACAUGAGUAGCACAGUAUGUGGGAGAAUACUUCAAAAAUGUGUUGAUUCUACAUCAAUCUUAACUGAUUCUCACUUCUUCAAUUCAAGUAUUUGAUUGCAACUCGCAAAUACCUUCUGUGAAUAAAUUCAGUACAAAGAAUUCUACUCCACCUGGUACGGAGUACAGUGGAGGAGCAGAGAGACUCAUUCCGCCGUCUACUCUGAGCGUGGCUCCAGUAAUGAAUGACGCGCCAGGCGACAGUAAGAAGCUGACAGCGCUAGACACCUGCAAUACGAGAGAUGUUAAUGCCCCUUGUGAGUUUAAUAUUUAAUUUUAACGACUGAUACAAAAUAAGAUUAAGAAAUCAAAGAAAGUUUGUAAACACUUGUAUACAGAGUUAUAACAAGAACGAACGUUUCUUUUUGGCAUCAGCUUUGAUAAAGGAGAAAUUGCAGAGUAGUUUAGACAUGAACUGGUUUUGAAACAUAACAGAGAAUAAAAUUUAUGGGAGCGGCCAUACUGAUGGCCGCUUGGAAUUUAAUGAUGGAAUUUGAUGAAUACAACGCUUAACCUUUGUCCUAGAAACGUGUUUGAUCACUAAGCAGCAAUGUAUAAGGCAACAUUCAAAUGUAUCCUAUCUAGCGUUUUCCGACCAAUUUUUGGAGUAGAAUUUAUUGGCAUAUGUUGGUCAAUUUAUGCAACAUAUGACGCACCUCCCUUGGGUGACCGAGCCUCUUAGCAGGUAUUCCAGGCCUGACCAGCUCAAAAAUGUUGUCGUCACCAUAGUUGCGGCUUGCUGUGGGAGAAUAAAUGCAGCUUCCAGGAGCCACUGCAUUCACACGUACACCACUUUCUGCCCACUCUAUUGACAGACUCUGUAAGAUUGAAAGGUGUCAAUGAAAAGCUUUGAAAUUA